CUCUUCCUGUCUCUCAUUUUCACUCAUCUCCCACAUCACCUUUUGGUGGCAUCCCCUGCCAGUCACGACAAUGUGGCCGAUUACACCACACAGAUUGCAUCGAUUGUGAGGGCUAAUUGAAAUGCGAGUAGCCCUGGUGUGGCGCGCAUCUGCUCCAUUUGUGAGGCUCGCUUUGGCACGUCUCCUCUCUUCACAUCUGAGGGAAAGUCGAAUGUGAUGCGUCCGCAACGUUUUGCUCAUCAGUUUCUGAAAUGAUGCCAACUUGUUAAGAUGUGACAGUGCAGUAGCCCUUCAGAGAGUCGAGAAAAGUCUGUUGGCUCAAAAUUAAACGAAUACAUCACAUAAAAUAAAGCCUUUAAGGUCAUUGUUUUCUCGCCCUCAUGUCAUCCCAAACCUAUAAUCUGCCAUUUUUUGAAAAAUCUUCAUGCAGCAUCUGCACCGUAACAGAAGUGUGUGACAAACAGACUGAACUGUGAGUCAUUGUUCUGUGAAAAUCUUUCCCUUUGGACGACUUUUAUUGUGGGCCUACUUUUUUGUAAAAAGACUUGACUGUCACAAUCACCAUCCUCUAAAAUUAAACCACAAUACUGAAAGUACAAGAUCAUUUAUACUCUGUGGUAGAACUGUAAAUAGAAACAUACACACAUAUGAAGCUGGUGGAAUGCUAUGCAAAUAUUCAAUAUUUUGACAUUUAACAAACUGCAGUCGCUCAAGUUAUUUCCCCACACAUUAUGGGAUGUGUUUUUCUUGAAGUCACUGAAUAUCAAAAUGUUGCAACAUAACGAUGCAAGGAGUAGAAUUGCAGUGUUUCCUAGCUUUUCUGAAGCAAAGCAGGAGAUUUAUAGGACAUUUUUGUUCAGUUUGACCUAUACAGGUUCUGUGAGAUUGAGGUCUGAAGGCUGGACCGGUCAGAUCAUUAGAGAAAUAUAUUUAGGGGUGCUUGCUAAAACGAGAAUCACUUGUACUUUUAUAGAACAAACUGGUUUGUUGUAAUACCCCUGUGCUAAUCAUUUUCUAUAGGCCUAUAUUAGAUUUUUUCUUUACUUAAAAAAAAAAAAAAAAAAAAAAAAUCAUGGAAACUUGUAGGUAGGCUCUUUUGAAAUUGGUAACCACAUAGCAUCAUGGGGACAAACCUAAUUCAGAACACCCAAUUCAAUUUCAGUUCAAUUUAUUUGUAGGCUAAAAGGUUUUUUUUUUUUUUUUUUCCACCAUAGCUUUAAGGUGGGAAUAAAGCAGUCAGUUAAGUUAACAUUAUUCAGUAAAUGGAUUUCCACUGUAAUUAAAAAUUGUAUAACAAAUACGAUAAUGUAAAUUAAAAAAAGAUGUGUUGUUAUUGCUUUUAUAGCGAGGACGCCGCCAUCUUGUAGUACUACAGACGUCACGGGGUUGGUUGGCUUCGUUGGAUUAAUAAAGAUUAUUAUAGUUUCUAGCCUUUGAUUGGUAUGCUUAGAUGCUCUGUAAUAGUUACUAGCAAUAGAUAAACUCAUAAUAUCGGUCACCGAGUAGUUGACCAAUAGAGGGCUCCAGUGCUUAAAAAAUAGGCGAACAAAAAUAAGUCUGGACUCCAGAAGGAAAAAGCUGGUUAUUGCACGCAAUACAAAAAGUUCAAAAAAGACAGCAAGGACGACGAUGGGGUUUGGUAUAACGUUUGGAGAUUAUCCAAUGUAUGGACUCCUGAUUGGUGGAAUCACGGAAUAACAAUCUUAUGCCGGCGGAGUCAAUAAUUUCACUAAUCUUGGACUAUCUCCUGUGAGCAGUAGUUGGUCCCUUGGUGAGAAGCCAUUCUGAAAAAAUCAAUGCUGUCGAAAACAAGAAGCCUGGAUAUUACACAAGGCUAAAGCCUAUUAUGUCAGUGCCGACAAUAAAAGUAUUUUUCAGUUCUUUCACGUGUGCAUGUGUGAUUUGCAUACUUAUUACGUUCCAGAAGAUUAUAGAGGAGUGCUGUGCCAAUGCUGAAUGGUGGUGGGUCUUCUAGUCUUCUGUGUGUUUUGUGGAGCAUUGAUCUGUCUUCUGUUGAUGACUGUCAUAAUCUCUGAGAUUUUGCUCAAUUGUACAUACAGUUUUACAGUUUCUUGAUGUUCUUUAUUAGUCCAUGUACUACGCAUGUUUGGUUGAAUUUUGUUUUUGUUUAUAGUUUUGAGCCUUAGAACAAACAAAUAUAUGCAGAAUACUAUAUAUGCAGUAUUGAUAUGCUAUUAUAUACUAUAUAUGCAGAAAGGCGUGUGUGAGGGUAUUGAUAUAGUAUUAUAAUUUUUGUUAAUAUUUUUAAAUUGCUUUUUAUAUGUUCUGUUUUUUUAGUACUUUUCAAUUUUUUUUUAUUUUAAUAUAUAUAUUUUUAUAUGACUAUAGAUUUUUAUAAUUUUUUUGUUUAUAAUUUUAGUUAUUUUAGUACUUAAAGUAAAACUUUAAGUACUAACAAAUUUUUAAAAAUGCCUUGGUAACUAGCUGAAAUUAAGUAUUUUUUUUUUUUUUUUUUAAUAUUUUAUUUCAAAUAACGUUUAUUUUAUUUCAAGUAAGGAUUUUUUUUUUUUAUUUUAGUUAAUUAUAAAUUUAAUAUUAUAAUAUUUAACAGCACAAAGGUAGAAUAAACUUACACACACACACACACACACAUAUAUAUAUAUAUAUAUAUAUAUAUAUAAUAAACUGACAUAUUAUACCCAAAAAUUCUUCAUACAGUGGACUACCAGUAAAAUUGACAAAAAUUUGACCUGACCAUGUUUUGCUUAAGUGUUAUCUGACACAGUUUAACUCUGAGAUCUUGUCAUAUUUUAUUACAAUUUUUUUUUUUUUAAACUAAAGUGAAUAAACUGUAUUACUGAGUGAAAUG